CAGCCGCCGCGGUAAUACGAAGGGUGCAAGCGUUAAUCGGAAUUACUGGGCGUAAAGCGUGCGUAGGCGGUUUCUUAAGUCUGCUGUGAAAUCCCCGGGCUCAACCUGGGAAUGGCAGUGGAUACUGGGAAGCUAGAGUGUGUCAGAGGAUGGUGGAAUUCCCGGUGUAGCGGUGAAAUGCGUAGAGAUCGGGAGGAACAUCAGUGGCGAAGGCGGCCAUCUGGGACAACACUGACGCUGAGGCACGAAAGCGUGGGGAGCAAACAGGAUUAGAUACCCCUGUAGUCCCUGUCUCUUAUAC
rnacentral:rRNA from 1 species